GGCACUGUAGCAUAGGGUGUUGCACCGUGAUUUGCUUGAUGCACAUCAGAUUGUUAUCGCGGAUGUCCCGGGUUCGACUCCCGGCAGUGCUG